rnacentral:rRNA from 1 species
GAUGAACGCUGGCGGCGUGCCUAAUACAUGCAAGUCGAGCGAACAGACGAGGAGCUUGCUCCUUCGACGUUAGCGGCGGACGGGUGAGUAACACGUAGGUAACCUACCUCUAAGACUGGGAUAACUUCGGGAAACCGGAGCUAAUACCGGAUAAUAUUUCGAACCGCAAGGUUCGAUGGUGGAAGAUGGCUUUGCUGUCACUUAUAGAUGGACCUGCGCCGCAUUAGCUAGUUGGUAAGGUAACGGCUUACCAAGGCAACGAUACGUAGCCGACCUGAGAGGGUGAUCGGCCACACUGGACCUGAGACACGGUCCAGACUCCUACGGGAGGCAGCAGUAGGGAAUCUUCCGCAACGGGCGAAAGCCUGACGGAGCGACGCCGCGUGAGUGAUGAAGGGCUUCGGAUCGGAAUGCUCUGUUAUUAGGGAAGAACAAAAGUGCAAGUACCUGUGCAUGUCUUGACGGUACCUAAUCAGAAAGCGACGGCUAACUACGUG